GUCUGUAAUUAUUGCCAAGAAAUGUUCACAGCAAACAUGCUAGGUUUCUGACAGUCUGUCAUGAGGGAGAGAGACAAGUGCUUCCUGCGUACCUCUCAGAGACCGAAGUCUGAGUGAACGAGGCUCCUGGAGGCUGGCUUUUCUCGGCUGUCUUUUGAAUACCUCGAGCAGAACACCUCUGUCUUGUUAAUGACUUCAAAGAUACCAGGUCCACUGUGCAGCGAGUGAUAAAAAUGUACACAGCAUGUGUUGGAUAAAUUAAUAAACUCUCUGGAGCCUACCAGUCCUCAGGCCCAGCAGCAC